GCCUGGAUAGCUCAGUUGGUUAGAGCAUGAUGCUGAUAACGCCAAGGUUGCAGGUUUGAUCCCCAUAUGGGACA
rnacentral:tRNA from 1 species